UACAGAGGGGGCAAGCGUUAUUCGGAAUUAUUGGGCGUAAAGGGCGCGUAGGCGGUGUGUCAAGUCAGGCGUGAAAGCCCCGGGCUCAACCUGGGAACUGCGUCUGAUACUGGAUGGCUUGAAUCCGGGAGAGGGAUGCAGAAUUCCAGGUGUAGCGGUGAAAUGCGUAGAUAUCUGGAGGAAUACCGGUGGCGAAGGCGGCAUCCUGGACCGGCAUUGACGCUGAGGAGCGAAAGCUAGGGGAGCAAACGGG
rnacentral:rRNA from 1 species